rnacentral:rRNA from 1 species
AACCUGCGGAGGGAUCAUUACCGAGUCUAAACAACUCAUCAACCCUGUGAACAUACCUAAAACGUUGCUUCGGCGGGAACAGACGGCCCCGUGAAACGGGCCGCCCCCGCCAGAGGACCCCCUAACUCUGUUGCUAUAUGUAUCUUCUGAGUAAACAAGCAAAUAAAUUAAAACUUUCAACAACGGAUCUCUUGGCUCUGGCAUCGAUGAAGAACGCAGCGAAAUGCGAUAAGUAAUGUGAAUUGCAGAAUUCAGUGAAUCAUCGAAUCUUUGAACGCACAUUGCGCCCGCCAGUAUUCUGGCGGGCAUGCCUGUUCGAGCGUCAUUACAACCCUCAGGCCCCCGGGCCUGGCGUUGGGGAUCGGCGAGGCGCCCCCCGCGGGCACGCGCCGUCCCCCAAAUACAGUGGCGGUCCCGCCGCAGCUUCCAUUGCGUAGUAGCUAACACCUCGCAACUGGAGAGCGGCGCGGCCAUGCCGUAAAACACCCAACUUCUGAAUGUUGACCUCGAAUCAGGUAGGAAUACCCGCUGAACUUAAGCAUAUCAAUAAGCGGAGGA